UACGUAGGGUGCGAGCGUUAAUCGGAAUACUGGGCGUAAAGCGUGCGCAGGCGGUGAUGUAAGACCGAUGUGAAAUCCCCGGGCUUAACCUGGGAACUGCAUUGGUGACUGCAUUGCUGGAGUAUGGCAGAGGGGGGGUGGAAUUCCACGUGUAGCAGUGAAAUGCGUAGAGAUGUGGAGGAACACCGAUGGCGAAGGCAGCCCCCUGGGCCAAUACUGACGCUCAUGCACGAAAGCGUGGGGAGCAAACAGG
rnacentral:rRNA from 1 species